GACCUAGGAUAGCUCAGUCAGCGGAGCAUGAGACCCUUAAUCUCAAGGUUGUGAGUUCAAGUCUCAUCUAGGGCA